GCAGGAUCUCUAUCUUUUAUUUUGUAUGUCUUUAGAACUUCCUCUUCAAAAGGCUGAUCUCUUACUUCUCCGUUUUCAGGUGAUUGAAAAUUCCUGAAGCAUUUCCUGGAGUAGAAUGGGUAGUGAAGACCCAUGUCAGUGAUCAGAGGACUCCGGAAACCAGGAGAGCUGCCUGCUGUGUCAAGGCUGGCCUGAGGGCAUUUGCUGAGCACAGAGACACCCAGGAGAGAUCAACAGUCUUUUCCCACUCCUCCUCUUGAUCUGUCUGAUUUGCACACAGAAAGCCAGCCAGGAUCCCCUAAGAGAGUCUCUAGGCCACAAUGGAGUCCUCAGGGCUGCAGGGAGCUGUGAUGCUAACAAUUUAACCUGCUGAGGACUUUAAAGAGUUGAAGGGGACUAAUAGUACCCAAGCAC
rnacentral:lncRNA from 1 species